CCUACGGGAGGCAGCAGUAGGGAAUAUUGCUCAAUGGGGGAAACCCUGAAGCAGCAACGCCGCGUGGAGGAUGAAGGUUUUCGGAUGGUAAACUCCUUUUGUUAGAGAAGAGAAUGACGGUAUCUAACGAAUAAGCACCGGCUAACUCCGUGCCAGCAGCCGCGGUAAUACGGAGGGGGCAAGCGUUAUCCGGAACCACUGGGCGUAAAGAGCGCGUAGGCGGGAUAGCAAGUCAGAGGUGAAAUCCUAUGGCUUAACCAUAGAACUGCAUUUGAAACUGUUAUUCUAGAGUAUGGGAGAGGUAGGUGGAAUUCUUGGUGUAGGGGUGAAAUCCGUAGAUAUCAGGAGGAAUACUCAUUGCGAAGGCAGCCUGCUAGAACGUAACUGACGCUGAUGCGCGAAAGCGUGGGGAGCAAACAGGAUUAGAUCCCCGGGUAGUC
rnacentral:rRNA from 1 species